UUUUGGACAAUGGGCGCAAGCCUGAUCCAGCCAUUCCGCGUGCAGGAUGAAGGCCCUCGGGUUGUAAACUGCUUUUGUACAGAACGAAAAGGUUUCUACUAAUACUAGGAGCUCAUGACGGUACUGUAAGAAUAAGCACCGGCUAACUACGUGCCAGCAGCCGCGGUAAUACGUAGGGUGCAAGCGUUAAUCGGAAUUACUGGGCGUAAAGCGUGCGCAGGCGGUUAUAUAAGUCAGAUGUGAAAUCCCCGGGCUCAACCUGGGAACUGCAUUUGAGACUGUAUAGCUAGAGUACGGCAGAGGGGGAUGGAAUUCCGCGUGUAGCAGUGAAAUGCGUAGAUAUGCGGAGGAACACCGAUGGCGAAGGCAAUCCCCUGGGCCUGUACUGACGCUCAUGCACGAAAGCGUGGGGAGCAAACAGGAUUAGAUACCCUGGUAGUCCACGCCCUAAACGAUGUCAACUGGUUGUUGGGUCUUAACUGACUCAGUAACGAAGCUAACGCGUGAAGUUGAC
rnacentral:rRNA from 1 species